rnacentral:sRNA from 1 species
GCCAGGCUUUGUGACGCAUGCCUGUAAACCCAGCAGCUUGGGAGGCUGAGGCAGGAGAAUUGAGAGUUCAAAGCCAGCCUCAGCAACUUAGCAAGGCCCUAAGCAACUCAGCAAGACCCUGUCUCUA